rnacentral:rRNA from 1 species
GAUUAUCUAGCUUGCUAGAUAUGAUUAGUGGCGGACGGGUGAGUAACAUUUAGGAAUCUACCUAGUAGUGGGGGAUAGCUCGGGGAAACUCGAAUUAAUACCGCAUACGACCUACGGGUGAAAGGGGGCGCAAGCUCUUGCUAUUAGAUGAGCCUAAAUCAGAUUAGCUAGUUGGUGGGGUAAAGGCCCACCAAGGCGACGAUCUGUAACUGGUCUGAGAGGAUGAUCAGUCACACCGGAACUGAGACACGGUCCGGACUCCUACGGGAGGCAGCAGUGGGGAAUAUUGGACAAUGGGGGCAACCCUGAUCCAGCCAUGCCGCGUGUGUGAAGAAGGCCUUUUGGUUGUAAAGCACUUUAAGCAGGGAGGAGAGGCUAAUGGUUAAUACCCAUUAGAUUAGACGUUACCUGCAGAAUAAGCACCGGCUAACUCUGUGCCAGCAGCCGCGGUAAUACAGAGGGUGCGAGCGUUAAUCGGAAUUACUGGGCGUAAAGCGAGUGUAGGUGGCUCAUUAAGUCACAUGUGAAAUCCCCGGGCUUAACCUGGGAACUGCAUGUGAUACUGGUGGUGCUAGAAUAUGUGAGAGGGAAGUAGAAUUCCAGGUGUAGCGGUGAAAUGCGUAGAGAUCUGGAGGAAUACCGAUGGCGAAGGCAGCUUCCUGGCAUAAUAUUGACACUGAGAUUCGAAAGCGUGGGUAGCAAACAGGAUUAGAUACCCUGGUAGUCCACGCCGUAAACGAUGUCUACUAGCCGUUGGGGUCCUUGAGACUUUAGUGGCGCAGUUAACGCGAUAAGUAGAC